rfam:Triticum urartu cultivar G1812 contig382969, whole genome shotgun sequence.
GGAUCCAUGGCUCAAUGGUAGCGCGUCUGACUUCAGAUCAUAAGGUUGCAUGUUUGAUUCAUGUCGGGUUCA